rnacentral:rRNA from 1 species
AAUAUUGGACAAUGGGCGAGAGCCUGAUACAGCCAUGCCGCGUGGGUGAAGAAGGNCUNNGGGUUNUNAAGCCCUUUUGUUGGNNNNNAAAAACAUCAGGCUAAUACCCGGAUGGAAUGACGGUACCCAAAGAACAAGCACCGGCUAACUUCGUGCCAGCAGCCGCGGUAAUACGAAGGGUGCAAGCGUUACUCGGAAUUACUGGGCGUAAAGGGUGCGUAGGUGGUUCGUUAAGUCUGAUGUGAAAGCCCUGGGCUCAACCUGGGAAUUGCAUUGGAUACUGGCGGGCUGGAGUGCGGUAGAGGGUAGUGGAAUUCCCGGUGUAGCAGUGAAAUGCGUAGAUAUCGGGAGGAACAUCCGUGGCGAAGGCGACUGCCUGGACCAGCACUGACACUGAGGUGCGAAAGCGUGGGGAGCAAAC